rnacentral:lncRNA from 1 species
UUUUCUAUAACAUUUAAAAACGCUUUUAAAGAAACGCGACGCCCUCGCCAGAGUCAUACUCAUACAAUAGGGCCAACGGCUAUUCUACCGAAUGACGUGAACUUACAGCCAAGCGAUGCACGCUUCGCACGUUAUUUCCACACGGUUCGUCUAGUCCCUCAAUCUAACACACACAGACUGCAUCCUCGCAUACGGGUGAUAACACAGAUUUGCAAGCUGAGAUUUUUGCGAUGACAUCCCUAGAUGUGACUGGCAAGUCAUGCGCUCUUGAGGAACUGGGCAUGGUGCGCGAUGUGAUCGUCGAUGAAGGUGGCGAUGAANNNNNNNNNNNNNNNNNNNNNNNNNNNNNNNNNNNNNNNNNNNNNNNNNNNNNNNNNNNNNNNNNNNNNNNNNNNNNNNNNNNNNNNNNNNNNNNNNNNNGAAUUCUAUAAAUUUUAUGAGUUUUAAAACAAUAUGUGGGUUUGAAAAAACGAAAAUUAGAAAAAUAAAUAGAAGGAAACAAACAAAAAGGGAUAGAAAGCGUGAAAAGAGUGAAAUUUGGUUCAGGGAAGGCUCUAGAACCUUUCCAAAAUCGAUGGGUGAAAAAACGAAGUAGUGCUCGCGUCGGGUAUACGAGUUACAUCGUUAUCCCCAAACUACGUGAUAAAUAGGCUCCUAACUUAAUGUUGACCUAUACUAGCUCAUGCAUAUGGGCCCGAAUUACCAAGGCUAACAUUUAUACAUGCCCGUCGUUUUGCAAGCUCACCUCUAAAAAAAAUAGAGUGGAUUUUUUGUUCUUAAAGUAGGUAGUGCUACGUGUCGGUCGGGUGAUAAUCCAAAAUGCUCAAUCGCCUCGGCAACCAGUGGAUAGAACCCCAAAUGGCCGUCUGAUCUGUCCGACCUCUAUCUUGACUGAGUCGUUUUUCCUUUCAAACAAGACUCGUGUUGCAGACGCACGCCGUUGCCAUCAUUGCAACACCACACACGUUUCAAAUGCAUAGCCCCAUUGCAGACCAUUGCAACAAUAUCCAUGUUUCAAAACAGCACACAUCACAUCCCAUAUUACAGAAGUGGGGAGCGAGAGGACACAAGAAGAGAUAUGGGUGAUAGGCGAGCCUCCACUUGGACAAGUAUUGUGCCAGCGAGGUGACGGACACACCCACUGCAAUCCGUCAGGUAAUGCCAAGCGAUUUCCUAAAGAAACGGCGGACAAUAGCAGCAAAUGCUAUCUACAGUAUCACUCAUUUCCAGCAAAAUAUAGGGCAUGCAUAGACCGGAUGUCAUGCUGGCCAGCCCAAUAAGUGCGGAUGGUUUUGCUUUCCGUUUUAUUUUGCGGGUGUUGUACAAGCGUAUUUAAGUCAGAUUAGGGUGUGCUUUCUUACAUUUUCUUUUUGUGCUUUAUUUUACAUUUUUUUUGAAUUUUUCUUUCUUUUUUAUUUUUAGGCACUUGUUUUUCAUAUUUUCUUUAUUGAAGUUUUUGUUAUUCCAUUUUCCUUAUUUAUAAAAUAACAAGGAGUUUUUAGAAAAUAUACUAAAAAUUAAAUUUUUAUACAUGAUUAUCAAUGAAGAACAAAAUAAAGAUUUUUUAAAUAAUAUUCAACAUUUUGCAUACAAGUUAAACACCAUACAUUCCAUUAACUAGUUGGCUCGACUAAAUCAUCGGCCACAUCGCCCAUUACAUCAGGAGGUAACCCAGUCAGCCGUAUUAGUUAGUUGCUUGAAGUUUGUCAAAAUGAAAAUUUUAGUUGCGUGAAAAUGAUGCAUUUUUAGUUGAUUUAGCAUUAGAAAUCGGAUUACAAUCCAGCUGUUGACCUAACAUCUUCCUCUCCUCCGUUGGCAAAUUUCCCCUGUCUCGCGUUGGAGUGCCGCCCCUGAUCUGUUUCUCCCCCAAAAUCGACUCAUCCAAAAUGCUUUUGAGGCAAUUGAUAAAUAGAAAAGAGCUUAUGAGUUACGAUGCUCUUUGGGUACCUUGCAAACAAAAUUGGUAGCUAGGAAGAAGAAAUGGCCCCUCGAACAUAUAUAUAAUCGCUGCAGGACCUGGGCGCAUGCAUGCGCCAUUGGUAGCUUCUAUCGAUUUUUUUGUGUUGCUUCGACAUCUAAGUGGCCAACAGUACUGUUGUUGAUAAGCAUUGACUACAUCAUGACACUGGUGAUAAUUGCUUUCAUUUUCAGAGUUGAUAUCACAAAAUUAAUCUAGAAAAUCUUGGUACUCUAUGUGGAAAGCGCUGUUGACUGUUAGUUGCUUUUGGAUAAUUGAUUCAUUUAGGUCCAAGACAGACGUGACGCCGGGAAAGCUGCGUCUAAGAAUGGAAGUUUUUUUUCCUGCGAAUCACUAUGAAUGGAAGGUUGAAAGAGAUAGCUUGUGCGCGAGAUUAAGUAUCCAACGAAUCUGACUGCAAAAUUCAGCUUAGCUUUGGUGGUCAAAACUGGCGUCGAGGGUUAAUCACAUUCAAAGCUUUGGAAUUUGACUUAGAGAAUAACCGGCUCAGUAACAUAAAAUAGUUCAUAGUUUAGGUUAAGAGUUUUUUCUUUAGUUUAGACCCAAAUUUAAUACUCCCUCCGUCCGGAUACUUGUUCAAGGAAUGGAUGUAUCUAGAUGUAUUUUAGUUCUAGAUACAUUUAUUUUAUCUAUUUUUGUAACAAGUAAUUUCGAAAGGAGAGAGUAGUAAACUCUAUGCGCGUAUUUGGCCUGGUCUAUGCCCGUCACGUGUCACUUAAACAACUAUUUUUUUAAAUGGUCACUUAAACAACCUUGGAGCGCUGAAACAAUGUCUCUACUGUGUCUUGAAACAUGCACCACUUCCCUGAUCUAAGCUUCAAAAUAUAGUUAGUUGAAGUACUACCAGAAAUUUUGUCAUUUUCAGCUAUGAAGAAUAUGAGCCGCGGCCGAUUGCAACAAAAUUGUUCGCUACGUCCCAAAAAACAGACGAACUACAGCAGAAAGUUCUCCAGAUGGCGUACCUUGGCCGGCCGGCCUGCUGGCCACAUAAAUUUGUUAUAGUGGCGACUGAAUAAUCGCAGACGAACUACACCACAAACUUGGUCACUGCAACAUGUAUUUCAGCUGAAUAUUCAAAGCUAGUCCGCCUGAGUGGAAGAGCUUGAGAUCGAUUGCGAAAUAAAUUAUCUCGGGCGGAGGCUCCCAUGGAGCAUGGCGAAGGUACUCUGCAGGCCAGUCUACGAUUCUUCCAUAAAUUCAACCGGUCUUCACAUCUUCACAGGCUGAACUUUCGUUGGUGAAAAACGCCAGUUACUUGCGCACUGUUCUCCACAAUAGCACAGGAUAAAGGUCAACAGAGGAGAAAGUUCAAAGCUUCGAGGCCAAGAGGACCAUUCUGUGAUGUGAUACCAACUAGAACCGCAUAUAAGGACCCCCUCGUCUAGCAUCUCAGUGUGCCCAACCCAACACACCUCAAGCUUCCUCCUUGCAGCAAUGGCGGCUCUGUCCGGAGCAGCGCUCGUCCUCGCCGGUCUCCUUGCUCUUGCAGCCAUCGCCAGCGGCAACACCGAAGGCGACAUCCUCUACAGGCAAAGGCAGGAACUGAAGGACAUCAACAACGUGCUGACGAGCUGGGAUCCCACGCUUGUCAACCCCUGCACUUGGUUCCAUGUCACCUGCAACAGCGACAACUCCGUCGUCCGAGUGUAUAUAUGCCUCUCCUCUUUUCUCCUCCCUCCCUGUUCUCAAGGUCCAAAUUACUAGUUUCUUGAAAGCAAGUUACUACUCCGCUUGAAUGCAGUGUGCACGAUUCUUUUGAACGUUCAGAAGAACUUUUUACUUGGACCAAAACUGCACUAGGCUCGUUUUCAUAAUUGUGUUUUUCCUCACUAUGCAGGGACUUGGGGAAUGCAAGCCUCUCAGGCUCCCUGGUUCCUGAAUUGGGACAAAUGGUGAACCUUCAGUACCUGUAAGUAAACUACGGCAAUUUGCUGCAGAGUGCAGACUUGUCAAGUUACACUCAAAAGUUCCUGCAUAACGGUCGACCUUCUCAUCUUCAUAGGGAGCUGUUUGGGAACAACAUCAGUGGACCGAUACCAGCAACCCUCGGAAACCUGACACGCCUGGUCAGCCUUGGCCUCUACAACAACCGUCUCACCGGCAUGAUACCGGCCUCGCUCGGGAACAUCGGGACGCUGCGUUUCCUGUAUGAUGAGUCUUGCUGCAACAUUUUUCGGACAAUAUAAUGCUGAAAUACCUAUUAUCUCCAACUUCUGAAAACAAUCUGUUGGUGUCUGUGUCUUCAGGAGGCUGAAUGGGAACAAGCUGACAGGAGGUAUACCUGCGUCAUUGGGCAAUCUAACGAAGCUUCAAACUUUGGAGCUUCAGGAGAACAUGCUGACCGGCAUGGUGCCGCUGGAUGUCCUAUCUCUUGUUCUUUUUGGGGACUUGACUGAACUGUGAGUAGUACAUACAGUUUCAUUUCACACACACCAGAAAUUGCCCCUCCUUCGUUCGCCAUUGACUUCCACUUACAUUUUUUUUUUGAUAAACCCUUAUAAUAUUUUUUAUCUUCAUGCAGUAACGUUGCCAAGAACAGUCUGGCCGGCACUGUCAAAUCAUCUAAAACAAGAGGUAGGGAUGCAUAUAUUUGUAAUCUGCAGCUCCUGACGGAUUAAGUUUUCCAGUUUUUUUCUUGUGUGUACAAUACAUGUAUAGGCUUGGUUCCUUGACUUGUGCUCACAAGAAUUUUCCAAUUGACAUCGUCUGCAGUAGCUACAAUCAUCCAGGACACGCUCAAGACUACACGCUGAGCAGCAGUGACAACCUGAACUUUUGUAAGAAUAAACUGAAUGUCUUUUCCUUCUGAAACUGCUGGGAGAGGCUGUAGCCUUUUAUCCCGUUAAGAGUCCAGAGCUUACCUCCAUUUCAGGAGAAAAAAAGGGAAAAGUGAAAGGUGAUUUAAUACUACAUUGUAAUCAGUGCGACUUUGUAAUAAUGAAUCUUCAUGUGCAUCUUUACUGCAUAUCCGGUGUUAUCCAUUUUGUAUACUCAUAUCUCGGGAGAGUAUAGAAACCCUUGAAACAGAUGGCUCGGUAUGGUAACACCGUUCCCUUGCUGUCUGCAAAAAGGGAGCAUGUUUUGAAUUUAUUUAUUUUGAAUUUUCUAAAAAAGGGAGCAUGUGAUGGCCAUUAGUGUUUUUGAUGGCUCGAAAGUAGCCUCUGAACCUCCUUAUUCCAGAUGGUUUUAACUUAGAGCCAUCUGAGGUAACCACUAUUAUCGAUGGCUUUUCUUUGAAGAUGUCUACACUAAUUAUUAUUGUAUCGAGAUUGUGAGACACAACUAUGGCGUCUAACAAUGAUAAUUAGGCACUACCACGGGCCGAGCAUUUGUGUCCAGUUAUGUCUCUUAAGGACAAGAAUGAAAGGUUUCGCUACUACAUAUUGAAAAAUAGUUAAUGCAAAAUAUUGUGAGCAAGAGUUAAAUCCGAGUACAAACACUUAUUGAUAUUUCACACACUACUCUUCUGAAUCAUAUUACCGAGUGUUGUGAUCAAGUGUCCAAGGACUAGGGGGGUGAACUGUCAAAAAAAUUCUACUCAAAAUUUUACAAGAUGGCAGUAGGAAGCAACAAUGUAAUAGAACUUUAGAAGAUGAAACUUUGAAUCAACAAUCUGGCAAGAUGACAGUUUGAAGCAACAAUAGUCCUAUCAAAACUUCUACUCUAAAUUUUAGAAGAUGACAGUUUGAAGCAACAAUCUAGUAGAACUUUUAGAACUAAACAACCUAGCAAGCAGAGUAUAAUAGCAACGGAAAGAGUAACCCGCAAGGAAGUAAGAGUUCAAGGGUUAGAGAAUGCAAACAUAUGGGACACGGGGCAUUUUUUUCAUGGUUUGGAUAGCUGACGAUAUCUGCUCCACGUUGAAGGAGUCUUUGAAAAAAUUGUAACAAGAUCACAAAGAUCUUGAUUGUGUCACCAACUAAGUGACAAAAGAAGCACAAUCAACCUAUUAAAUCAUGGCUUGAACCAAGAAGCCUUACUGAGGGGUCGAUCUCGACACUUAGAAGACGGUCCCUAAGCUUUGUAUGAACUCUUGGUUCCAUCACAACUUGAUAAUGAAGGCUAUCAUGUGACCCAUAACUGCCUAGGUGGUGCACACAUUCUCCAAGAGCAACAAGCAAAGCCAAGUCGCUAGGUACUACUCCUCAAAACGUCUUCAAUCAAUGCUGUUCUCAAGAACCCAUAAAAAUUCUCUCUCAUACACACAAAGGUUAUGAAUGGUGUAAGAUGGGAGGAACACCUAGCCGGGGUUCAAGAACAAGGGAUGAGCGUGUGCUUGAGAGUAGAGAGGAAAUGUUCAUGGAAUCACCCAAAACAAUCUUCCUUUAUCUUCUCUUCUUUCUUGGAGCUCUCUUCUUCAAGACUUGAACUUGCAGUAGUUGGAAUGGAGUGGGAUGACUUCAAGUUUCUUGACACACCAAGGGGGUAUCCAAGUAUAUAUAUAUAUAUAUAUAUAUAUAUAUAUAUAUAUANGGGAAUUUUGGAGGACUAGAAUCCUUAGGAAUUUUCCAAUGUUGGUGUUUUGAUUCUUGGGGUGGAAUUCUAUAGGAUUUUUUUCUGAAGAAUUAUUCUUAGGAUUGAAUCCUAUAAGAGAACAAUACUGUAGGAACAUUUCCUAAUGAAUCAUGUGUACUACACUUAAUAGGGAAUCUAACAUCCACUCCAACUUCUUUUUACAAUUCCUUUGGUUUUCCUCUAUCACCAAACACGGUUUGCUAAUCUAUAGGAUAUAAGUCAGCAUGUCACUCGAGUCGUGUAUUUUUUUGUUCCUGGAUUUUAAAAAUCCUACAAAUCAAAGAGGACCUUGACUUGGAAGAGAAGAGGUGAAAAAAUUAAGCACUAAUUCAGCCUACCAAACAACAUAUGUUCUAUACAGCAUGUCUCGUGCACCCAUAUCAUGUAGUCCACCAAACACACAUUUCAGCUCAUGUUUGCACCGGCUAAACUAGGCCACACUUGCCCAAGAAUCGCAAUGUCAUGCAGGCUAGAGCAACACAGACAACCAAACAUGCCCAUAGUGUAUGAGGCUACAACGGAGCAUGGCCGUGCCCCUAGGUACAUGCUCUGAACUCAACCAUUCCCAGUAGCUUGGCAAAUGAGUGAGUGUAGUUGUUGAGGUGAGGAAUUGGCAAAGCAGCAGAGGAUACAAACAUAUAUAGCCAAAUAUCUUUGGAUAAAGGGGGUAUUAAGGCUCGGGUACGAACCAAACUCUAGGACUCAGUCACAAAAGUAAUAGAUGGAUAACUAAUGCGGUCACCAACCUUCCGUGGAGUAAACAUGACUUAUCCUUAGAAAUGAUGCACCUUCUAUAUAGUCUUCUUCAAGUACCCUCCAAGCUACGUUAUUGGGAUAAUAUUGACUGCCAAACUAAUGAUAACAUAGAUGAGCAGGGAGGGAGGGAGGGAUGGAGAUAUAAGGAUGGAGAGAGAGAGCUAUGAUGGGUUAGAGUUGUGAAUGGGAGGCAUACAUGAACAAAUCAUCAGUUGGAAAAGGAAAUGAUGCAAAAAUAGCUCAAUGCUAAUAAUUUUUGGGAGGAAAAUAUUCAACUAAGCCAUGGUUGAGCAUAAUCAGAGAUAUUCACCAUGUACAUUACUGUAUAGGAUGGUAGUUUGUGUUGUCCGAUGAAAACGUGUUUUUUAGAUUGACGUCACUAUCUAUAUCUUUACCUGCUAAUAAAGGGGUUAGUGCUUAUGCCCCCUCUCAUGCUUUUCCGUCUUCAAAAUGCACUUCAUGGAUAAGUGACUUCAGGGAAAUAACAUUUCGUGGUUUGAUUUUUUUCAUCGCUCGUCCAGAAUUACGGGAAAGUGCACCUUCGCUUUCGUUCUCCUCCCGAAGCACUCCUCAUGAACCGUCCAACACCUCCCACCCAACCUCAGGCGGGCGGUGUUCUUGCGUGUGCCACCUCCAACCUCCUCUAGUCAGCGUGGUCGCAGCUGAUGUUAUGCGCCUCCUCUCGGAAGAUGUCGUGGGGAUGCGGAGGUCAUGGAGGUGAGGCGUCCUCACCUCCCGCCCAAACCUCUGACGAUGUUCCUCCCGAAUCAGACCCAACCCCCGCACGAAUUGGGAACCUCCCCCAUGCACUAGUGUAGAAAAGCCUAGCUAUGGCAUGGCAAAAAGGGACCUGCUAUCCAAUGGCUCAUGUUUCUUUUUCUAUUUUUGCACGCUUUGCUCUUUUUCUAUUGUAGACGCUCCCAUAAGACCCCUCGCUUCAGCCAGGCUAAAUUCAAUGGACAUGCUAUCCUCGACACCUUGGUCCCCAUCUUUAGCCCUAAACGAUCAUAAUGCAGCCAACAUCGAACCAUGAGCACCCGUAACAAAAUAGCAAGGUCUCUGUAAAGAGGAUUGGAUGCCCCCUGUUCACCAUCGGAGACCUCCGCCUACUCCAAUAAGCUUGUUGCACGGGCCAACAACAAGCUCAAAGGGCAAAGCGCCACCGCCACCAUGGACUGCAGCUCAGCAGCAAAAGGAGGAAGCAUUAAGUUGGUUGGCUUUUCCACAACAUCAUAACCAUCACAACCUUCGCCAGAAUCUUUAGAAGACCUCGCGUACUCUGGGCCAUGUACGCAUGGGUGGGGAUUUAACAUUUUAUAGAUGAUACACUGACAUGUGGGCUCCACAUGUCAGUUAACGAACAAACGAACAGUCAAACAGAUGGUUGUUUAGGUGCGGGGCCGACCUGUCAUAAACCGGUUUAAUUUCUUAGCAAUGAAUAACUUGGGUUUUUUGAAACAGUCGUCGCCUAUUCUAGUAGUUAUUAGUCACAAACAAAAUUUUGAUAGUUUUUUAGAACCAUAGCGGAAAAGUAGUAGUUUUAUGCUAUAUACUCUCAAAAUGGGGCAUCUGUUGGUCAUUAGUGUUUUUGAUGACUGGGAAGUUAGUCUCUAAACCUCCUUAUUCCACAUGGUUGUGACUUAGAGCCAUAUGAGGUAAACACAAUUAUCAAUGGCUUUUAUUUGGAGACGGACGUCUACAGUAAACAAUAAUUCCGGCAUGUAAUGAUGAUAAUUAGGCACGAGCAGAAGCCGAUCAUUAGUAACCAGUUAUGACUCUUAAGGACAAGAAUGAAAGGUUUCACCACUAAAUAAUGAAAAACAGUUAAUGCAAAACAUUGCGUGCAAAAGCUAAAUCCGAGCACAGACCACUUAUUGAUAUCUUACACACUACUCUUAGGAUUUAUAUUACCGAGUGUUGAGAUCGUGUGUCUAAAGACCAAGGGGUGAAUAGUCAUACCAAAAAUUAUACUCCGAAUUUUACAUGAUGACUGUUUGAAGCAACAAUCUAGUAGAAUUUUUAGAACUAGUCAACCUAGCAAGAUGAGUAUAAUUGCAAUGGAAAGAGUAACAUGCAAGGAAGUAAGAGUUCGAGGGUGAGAGAAUGCAAACACAUGGGAGACGGAGAUAUUUUCCCGUGGUUCGGAUAGUAGGCGAUAUCCCACUUCACGUUAAUGGAGUCUUUGAACCAAAUGGGUUUAAGAACAAAAAAUUCAUACGGAUCUCGAUUGCGUCACCAACCAAGUGACCGACCAAGCACAGUCACACUAUUACAUCAUGGCUUGCAUCAAGAAGCCUCACUAAGGGGUACAUUUCAGCACUUAGAAGACGAUCUUUUACGAACUCUUGAUUCCAUCACAGCUUGAUAGUUGGAAGCUAUCAAGUGUCUCAUAACCGUCUACACGCCACACACACCCUUCGAGAGUAACAUGUAAAGAAGAGUCCCUUGGUAGUACUCCUCGAAAUAUCUUCCAUCAAAGCUCUUCUCAAGAACCCAUAAAAUUUCUCUCUCACGCACAAAUGUUAUGAAUGGUGUUAGAAGGGAGGAAAACCAGGUAGUGGUUCAAUAAUAAGGGAGCAACUUGUGCUUCAAAGCUGAGAGGAAGUGUUCAUGGAAUCACCUAGAAGAAUCUUCCGUGUCUUCUUGCUUGGAGCUAUCUUCUUCUAGACUUGAACUUGCGGUAGUUGGAAUGGAGUGGAAUGACUUCAAGUUUUGUGCCACAAGAGGGGGGAUCCAAGUAUAUAUAUAGUGCUCGCCAUAAAUUUGACUAUAACCUUGAAAAAGUAACUUGUACGUAAGUACUAGAGAAUAAUCUUGGAAUUAGCAAACACACUCAAAAUUUGAAUGGUCAGAGCAAAUCCCGUAAACCUCACGUAGAACAUAGUACUCGGAAGUGCUAGGAAGGAAACUAACGAUGGUUCUCGACAACAAAGUUGGAUCUUUUCUUCAUUCAUGGAACUAGCUCGGAAGUAACACAUAAAUUUGAUUUGUCGCUAGUACUGCAGUAGACAGAGAAGACCAAAUAAAAGAAACUAUGUAAAAAUAACAAAGUCGCAAUUCAUAGGUAUCGUGUGGAAUUACUCCUACCGGGCAUAUAAUGUGACUAUGUGGAAGCAAACCAAAAGAUAUUCAGAUGCGACAUGUGAAAAGUUAUGGUCGGAGGCACCGGAGUUAAUAGAAAGCGUCUUAAAAGGAACUUGGCUCAGAAGUGCUGGAAUAAAAAGAGGUACGGUUCCACUAUGUGGAAAACUGAUUUGCUAGGUGAAGAAAACACAUUGGUAGGUGCUUCGGAAAAGGGAAAAUGUACUUUUCGUCCUUCAAGUCUUCAGUAAGUUUGGAAAUGCUCCCUUGACUCCAAAACCAGCAAACCUUAUAAAACAUGAUAAUUUUAGUCCCUUAACUUUUAAAAUUGGAUUCCCUACACGUGUGUAAGUCAAAAACCACUCCGCGUCAGCAGAAAACCCCCCUGAGUGACACAAGGGACUUAACUUAUCUGGUUCUGAAAGUUAAGGGACUAAGAUUUGUUGAUUUUGAAGUUGAGGGACCAUUUCUACUCGCAAGAAAGUUGAUGGACGAAAAAUAUACUGUUCUCUUGGGAAAAAUAAGGAUGCAUAGUGGUUAGUGUGGAUUUUGGAGGAUCUUUGUCUUGUGAUCUUAUCUUGAAGUUCCAAAGUACCCUUGCUUGUGUUCCUCUCGAUAAUAUGGCUGUCUUACAUUAUAUGUAAAUCUUCUAUUUAGAGUACAAGGUAGUGGCCCUAAUGGCUGAAGCAAAACGCCCACAUCGAUCCUUGGGGCUCGAGCCAUCCUAGACCCACUAAGCCGUGCUAACCGAAACACAACGGUGAGGGCACCUAAUCAACUAGCUAAUGCGCAGAACAGUUGGUAUGAAAACUUCUCACAUGGCACGAUUAUUGAACAAAAAGCUUUGGCAUGGCAGCACUAAAGCGCUGCCACGGCACCGAAAACCCUUUGCCAUGGCAGCAAAAUUGCAAAACUCACAAACUAGGAACUACUUAAAAUGUGUUACUGAACCAGUCAUUCUGCUUAGAGGUUUUUUUUACUCCAGACCAUAGUUUAAGAGAGUAAAUUAUCGUCUAACCAAACCACGCGUGUAUUUGAGCUAGUCUAUUCCUGCCAUGUGUCACUUUAUCAGCUUUGAGCGCUGAAACGAUCUGCCUUUUUUUCUUGAAACAUGCAUCCCUUCCAAGAAUUUGGAAACCUUACCAAAAGUUCAGUUACCAUCCGGUUACCGCGUUUCGAUGUACCCACGAGAAAUCGCCUUUCCGAGCCCAAAAAAACCGAAUUUUUAACUUUGACUAAAUUUUGUUCAGAUUCAAAGUCCGUUCGACAAAUUUGUUUGGUAACUGUUCAAUAUUUUUUUAUUAAUAUGGUAGCACAAAAUUUCAGUGCCCCGUGAUAUCUUUUUUCCAUCCGGAUUUCAAAACCUUUUUUUAAACAGAGGCAAAAGCUUUACUUUUCAUUAAUUAAGAGGAAGGUAGUUGUUUGGUUAAUUUGCGGAAACUGGAGCGGAAAAUCGAGGACCAAAACCCACAUGGACUCAAACCACCAACAGAGAUACCGUAGAUGGCACACCACAACAAGCCAUCCCGUAAAAAACUCAAGCGGACUACUCCUGAAACAACAACCACCAAAAAAGAAAGCAUGUGGUAGCGAUUAACAUUUUGUAGGGUUGUCCCCCAAGGCGACACUAAUCCAAUGGUUUACCUUCUUGAUCUUCUUUGCAUUGAUCAGGUGAUACAAACUUUGGAUAAUCGGAGUCAGACCUGUGAGCAACUCACUGAAGACAUGCAAAAUGCCCUCGCCCUCAGUCGUCAAGGUGCGUCCCUCAGCAAGACCCCUCACUUCAGCCAAGCUAAAUUCAGUGGACACGUAACAGAAUAACAAGGUCACGGCGGCGGGCUUUGACGGCGGAAAUGCAACAACGACAGUCCUUCUCACGGCGCCCAGCGUAGAAAAUACGAGAUAAACCCUUGCAUCUUGCAGGGGCGCUUUACGUGUUAAUAUAGGCCACCGGCCAGGUUGUUACAAAGAUCUACAAGAUUAGUUGUUGGAUUGCUAUACAAGUCAUAUCUCCAACAACUAACUUAAACACAAUCAAAUGCCGUUUAUAUUACACGGAUAUAUGUUACAUCUUUUAACACUCCCCCUCAAUCACAACUAUCUAAGUUGAGAUUGUUUCUAAAUGCUUCUAGCUGCCGAAUGGUGAGUGGCUUAGUGAAGCCAUCUGCAACUUGAUCACCAGUUGGUACAAACCUGAUGUUCAAUAACUUGGCUGCCACUCGUUCACGAACAAAAUGAUAAUCAAUUUUAAUGUGCUUCGUUCUAGCAUGAAAAACAAGGUUAGCAGACAUAUAGGUAGCACCAAGAUUAUCACACCAUAGCGAGGCUGCCUUUGGAUGGCGUACACCUAGUUCAGUCAACAAAUUCUGAACCCAAAUAAUUUCAGCAGUUGCAUUUGCUAAGGCUUUGUACUCAGACUCGGUGCUUGACCUGGAAACUGUAGGUUGAUUACGAGCACUCCAUGAGACAAGGUUGCCUCCAAGAAACACAGCAAAGCCUCUAGUAGAUCUCCUAUCAUCAGGACAUCCAGCCCAGUCUGCAUCUGAGAAUGCACUUACCAGCAUAGAAUCAGUUUUGGUAAUUUUAAGUCCAUGACUUUUUGUUCCCUGCAGAUAUCUCAGUAUUCUUUUUACUGCAAUCCAAUGCACACUAGUGGGAGCAUGCAAAAACUGGCAUACUUUAUUAACUGAAUAUGAAAUAUCAGGCCGAGUAAGGGUCAAGUAUUGUAAUGCUCCUACAAUACUUCUAUACUUUGUCGAAUCCUCUGCUCCUAACACUUCCCCAUCAUAAAGAGACAGUUUUUCAGAGGUAGACAAUGGUGUGGGAGAGGGUUUGCAACCCGUCAGCCCUAUGCGUUGAAGGAUUUCCUGUACAUACUUUUCUUGGGACAAAAGAAUUCCAGUAUGUACUUGUUUUACCUCAAUGCCAAGGAAGAAGUGCAAAUCUCCAAGAUCCUUGAGUGCAAAUUCCUUGCCGAGAUCCUUCAAGAGAGCCGCAACCGCUUGGGGAGAGGAGCUUGCAACUAUGAUGUCAUCAACAUAAAUCAGCAUAAAAAUAGUAACACCAUGCUUAUGGUAGAAGAAAAGUGAGGUAUCUCCUUUGGAUGGAGCAAAACCAAGGGAUUGCAAUUUUGAGGACAACCGAGAGUACCAAGCUCUAGGUGCUUGCUUGAGCCCAUAUAGUGCCUUCUCAAGUUUACACACAUGUCUAGGUGAGUUAGAACUCCCAUACCCAGGAGGUUGUCUCAUGAACACUUCCUCUUCCAGAAUACCAUGCAAAAACGCAUUCUUCACAUCUAAUUGUCUCCUGCACCAGUUUCGAGAGACUGCAACAGAAAGGAUCAACCGAAUAGUAGCAGCCUUAACUACAAGACUAAAUGUGUCCUCAUAGUCAAUCCCAUACCUCUGCUUAAAACCUUUGGCAACCAGGCGUGCUUUGUACAUAUCAACACUGCCAUCAGCUUUCCUCUUUACCAUGUACACCCAUUUGCAAUCGAUGAUGUUUCUGCCCCGAGCUGGAGGAACUAGGCGCCAAGUCUUGUUUUGCAUAAGGGCACUAUACUCCUCAUCCAUGGCCUCUUCCCACCAAGGUGAGGUAAGGGCUUCUGUCAUGUUUUGUGGUUCACCUGUGGCACAAAAAGAGCCCCAACCAAUGCAACCAUCAUGAUAUACCUUUGGUUUGAUGACACCACCCUGGGACCUGGUGUGAGCACGCGCAGGUGGAGGUGGCGCAGGGCGCGAGAGCUGCAGUUGGAGGCGAUUUGACGAAGCAGAACCAGAUCCCGAGGAGGAUUCCUGUGGAGAGGCGGCGGCGUCAGCAUCAGCGUCUGCAUGCGCUGCAUGGGAGCCGUCGUGGGAGUCAGCGCCAGAAUCAUCGUGGGAGUUAGCGCCGGUCGGCGCGACCGACAGCGACCGCGUCUGGGAGGCCGAGGCUGGCGCAGCGUCACGUGCGGGGGACCCGCCUGUCCCCGCACCCAGCCCCGCGCCCGAGGAGCCGCCAACCGUGCGCCCGCCUGGCGUCGCGUUGGGCACGCCACGUAGCGAAGCAGGCCCCGGCGCGCCAGAUCCCGAGGAAAGUGCGCCAACUGCUGGCCCGCCUGGCGCCGCAAGCCCCGGGGAAGAUGCGCCAGUUGCUGGCCCGCCUGGCGCCGCAAGUCCCGAGGGAGAUCUGCCUGCCGCGCCGGAUCCCAAUAUGCCAGGGCGGCCUGCUGCGCCCGAUCUCGAGGAGGAUUCGGCCGGAUUUUCUACACCGUUGGAGAGCAUAAAAUCACGGCUAUUUUCAACCGUUUUUGCACCGAUUCCUGCACUGUUUUCCUGCACACUUUCAGCUGAGAGAUGAUCAAGUGUAGUAGUAUGAGGCAUUUUCAUGCUAUCAUCAGUAUUAGUUCCACCGCGUAGGGAGGGAAGGGAUGGUGGAAGGAGGUGGGGUGGCAACACAAUAAGCUCUUUGCGAAGUUGGGCACCAGCAUUUGGAUGUAAUUGCGAGAAGGGAAAUAUUUGCUCAUCAAACACCACAUCACGAGACACAUAAACCCUACCAGAGGACACAUCAAGGCAUUUGUAACCUUUAUGCAACGAGCUAUACCCUAUAAAAACACAUUGCUUAGACUGAAAUUCAAGCUUGUGUUUAUUGAAAGGACGUAAAUUUGGCCAAACCGCACAACCAAAAAUACGAAGGAAGUUGUAGUUGGGUUUAAUGUCAAAGAGGCGUUCAAGAGGUGUUUGGUCAUGGAUUACUUUGCUUGGGACAUGGUUAAUAAGGUACACAGCAGUGGUAAAGGCUUCAUCCCAAAAUUUUAAGGGCAUGAAUGCAUGAGCAAGGAGAGAAAGGCCAACUUCGAUAAUGUGCCGGUGUUUUCGUUCAGCGGAUCCGUUCUGCUGGUGAGCGUGAGGGCAUGAGACAUGGUGGAUAAUACCUAUGCGCUCAAAGAAGGUGUUGAGGUGUUGAUACUCUCCACCCCAGUCGGUUUGCAUGGCUAGAAUUUUGCGAUCAAACUGGCGCUCAACAAGUUGUUGAAAGAGAUGAAAUUUCUCAAAGACAUCAGACUUGUUUUUGAGCAAGUAAAUCCAGGUGAACUUACUAAAAUCAUCAAUAAAACUCACAUAAUACUUUUGUCUGCCGACAGAGACGGGUCCAGGACCCCACACAUCCGAGAAAACAAGUUCUAGAGGAAAAUUCGACACACUACUAGACCGAGAGUAUGGGAGUUGAUGGCUCUUGGCCUUUUGACAGGAAUCACAAACUAACAAAUGAUCCUUUUUAUUUGACACUAGGAGAGAAAAAUUACUAAGAACUUUCUGGACUACCGGUAAAGCUGGAUGUCCUAAACGCUUGUGCCAUCGCGAGGUGGAAGGUUUGACAGCGCCAAGAGCUUGUGGAUGUGGGGCUUCGUGAUGACCAGAUACUGGGAACAAGCGACCCUUACUCUUGCUUUGAAGAAUGGUUCUCCGAGUGUCCCGAUCCUUAACAAAAACAAUUUCAGGGUAAACUUCGAGAAAAGCAUGGUUAUCAAGCAUGAGUUGCGAGGUGGAAAGAAGACUCUUUUCGGCUUGUGAAGAGUGGAGUAUGUUGUUAAGGCUGAGGGAACCAUGCGGGGUAGAUAAAACUGAGUGACCAACAUGGGCAAUGCUCAUACCUUGACCAUUGGCGGUGUGGAUCUGCUCGUUGCCGGUGUAGCGAUUGUGGACAGCCAGCUUCUCAAGUUCACCAGUGACAUGAUCGGUUGCACCAGUGUCGAGAUACCAGUUGGUAUCUACCCCAUAGGAGUGGGCGGCGUUAGCAGAUUUUUGUCCACGUCCACCGGCACCUCCUCCUCCUGCUGGAUUGCGGACAUUUUUGUUGUAGUUGCGAUCAAAGCGCUUCGCACAGCGCCAUGCCCCAUGUCCACUUUCCUUGCAAAUUUGACAGUUCUCAAACUUGCGAUCACCGCGGUCUCCUCCUUGGCGUGGUGCGUUGUUGUUGCUGUCGGGGAAGCGUCCUCCCGCGGUGUUGUUGUUGUAGCCACCACGGGAGCCGUUGUUGUUGUAGCCACCACGGCCACGGCCACCUCCCCGAGCAGCGAGAUUGGCGGUGUAGACGCUGGUUUGGGAGGUGAUCCGUGCUUCGGCUGCGAGGAGGAGGGAAAAGAGCUCACCGAGGCCGAUGGGUUGGUCGGUGACGGUGCGAGUGGUGAUGGUGGAGACGAACCCGUUGUACUCAGGCUCGUGCAUCAGCCCCUGAAGAAUAUGCGAGACGACGUCAUCUUCGUCCAGAGGCUUCCCGGCUGCUGCCAGUUCGUCGGCAAGGCCCUUCAUCUUGGUGAAGUAGGCGGCGACGGAGGAGUCACCCUUGCGGGUACUCCCGAUCAGAGAUCGUAGCUAGAUGAUGCGCGCCCGUGACUGCGAGGAGAAGCUUUGGAGAAUCUCCUUCCAUGCUGUCGCAGCCGUCUCACAGUUGCUGACCUGGAGAAGGAUGUCACGGGAGAGGGACGCGAGCAAGAAAGUAAGCACCUGCUGGUCCUGCGUUACCCAAACAGCAUGUUCAGGGUUUGGCGUGGCGGUAAGCUCCUUCUUCCCGGCGACAUCUUUCUCCAGGAUGAGCUCGGCGGGAGGAGCCUUGAGGGAACCAUCAAGGUAACCCAUCAUGCCGGCAGCCCGGACAUGAGGGAGCACCUGCGCCCUCCAGACAAGGAAGUUCUCCCUGUUAAGUUUCUCGGCGAUGGUGUGUCCGAGAAAGGCGAUGGAGGGGAGGGCCAUGGCGACGGCGGCGGUGGAGGAGGAAGACAUGGAUGUGAUUGGAAGAGUUUAGGCUCUGUAUACCAUGUAGAAAAUACGAGAUAAACGCUUGCAUCUUGCAGGUGCGCUUUACGUGUUAAUAUAGGCCAUCGGCCAGGUUGUUACAAAGAUCUACAAGAUUAGUUGUUGGAUUGCUAUACAAGUCAUAUCUCCAACAACUAACUUAAACACAAUCAUAUACCGUUUAUAUUACACGGAUAUAUCUUACAUCUUUUAACACCCAGAACGCAGGCAAGCGAGGCAACGAAUCGGGUCACGACAAAAAGCAGCCUUGUGGUCUGGAGCCAAGCAAUGGAAACAACGGCGGUGAGUUCUCCGACUGAAAACCGCAACUUGCACAAGCUUCGCACCGCAACUCGUCGAGCCAUCCGAAGCUUGGCUGCAGUGCACAUGGUCACACGGAUGACGCUUUCACCCCACGAAGAUCCAGCGACCAUUCCCUGCCACUUUGUCCGCCGCCGCUGCUAGAAUGCUGGGAAGUGACGCGGGACAGCUCGACGACACCCGAGCAACACCAUGACAGGUAUAUAACCCGUCGCCGUUUGCAGCAAAAUUCCUCAAUUAUGUCACAAAAAUCCACGUCCCUCCAGCAGAAAGUUCUCCAUUUCGCACACAUCUUCAGCCAAGUGGAGUACGAAAUAAAGUUCUCCAUGUUGACUGAGUGGAAGGGCGGGAGCUUUCGACCGUGAAAUAAAAUUGUCUCCAAUGGAGGUUUCCACGGUGUACUCUGCACCCUGCGGGCCAAUAGUUCCAAAUUUCAGCUGGUAAUCCUCCUUUUCUAAAAAAAAUGCACGAGUUACUACUUGCACACAUUGCUCUUCACAAGAGCACAACAUAAAGGUCAGUCGACGGAGGAGAAAAGCCAAAUCCCGAAAGUUCAAACCUUGAAGAACCACUAGAACCUCAUAUAAGGUCAGACCCACACGCUCUCCUCUCUACUCUGUAGCAUUUCAGUGCACCCUGCCAAUACAGCUCAGGCCUCCUUCCAGCAAUGGCAGCUCAGACUGGAGCAGCGCUCCUCCUCACCAGCCUCCUCAUUACUCUUGCAACCAUCGCCAGCAGCAACACUGAAGGUCGAAUUUCAGCUGGUCUUCAUGCUUCACGGGCCAAGCUUUCGUUUCUCAAAAUAGCAAAUACUAGUAUUAUGCACGAGUUACUACUUGCACACAUUGCUCUUCACAAGAGCAUAACAUAAAGGUCAGUCGACAGAGGAGAAAAGCCAAAUCCCCACCAGGAAAGUUCAAAGAUUGGAGAACCACAAGAACCUCAUAAAAGGUCUCUCCUCUCUACUCUGUAGCAUUCCAGUGCACCCUGCCAAUACAGCUCAGGCCUCCUUCCAGCAAUGGCAACUCGGACUUGGGCAGCACUCCUCCUCGCCGGCCUCCUUACUCUUGUAACCAUGGUCAGCAGCAACACUAAAGGUACUACUACAUGCUAAUUGCUCCCUCCAUUCCUAAACAUAUUUUUUUUUACAUAUUUCAUUAAGAGACUACAUACGGAGCAAAAUAAGUUAAUCAACACUCGAAAGCAUGUCUAUAUACAUCCGUACGUAACCCCCUAGUGAAAUCUAUAAAAAAAACUUGUAUAUAUUUAAAAACGGAGGUAGUAGUUUCGCGAGAAUGAUUCUUGAAUGAGUUCAUUGUUUCUCAAAGGUUCUGUGAUGUUGAUUUACACAUGAUUUGUUGGUAUCCGAAGGCGACAUCCUUCACCUACAAAGGAGGCGUGGAAGGACCCCCAACAAUGUGUUGCAGAGCUGGGAUCCGACCCUUUUCAACCCAUGCACUUGGCUCCAUGUUACGUGCAACAGCGACAACCCCGUCACCCGACUGUAUGUUUUUCUUUUCUCCUCCUUGCUCUGCAAGAACACGAUCAGUCCAUGGCAAUGGAAUGAAUGGAAGUUGUUACCACUCUUAUGUGCAGUAUGCACAGUGUCGGCAAAUCUCACACCUCUCUGCUCUCACUCGCCGGUAGAAGGAAGAACACGAGAGAGUUUUUGCGCUGCUGGAAACUUGCAGCUUUUCUGUUGCUAUUAUUCCUCUUGUUAUACUCUAGCAUACAAGAGAAUCGGGCUUAAGGCCCCUACUACUUCGCCACCUCCCGAUCGUGCUGCUCGUGCCAUCCCACGAGCGAUCAAGGGGGAGCUAGACUCGCUCCUGACGCAACGGCUGCGAGCUAUUCUCGCGCGCCGCUUCUGACUGCUAAACUGACGAAAGAAAGACGCUAACAGCAGACACUGAUGAAAACUGAAAAACGGACACUUAGCAGACAGGGUUUAUACAACACACAGUUGUUUUCAACAUUCAGAAACUUUUAACUAGGGACUAAAACUGCACUCCUCUUGUUGAAUCUCUCCAGAUUGAUUACAUCAUAAUCAUACUGCUUUUGUUCUUCCUCACUGUGUAGGAACUUGGUGAAUACAGGCAUCUCGGGCACCCUGAUUCCUGAACUGGGAGGAUUGAGGAACCUUCGGUACCUAUAAGUACUACUGCGACUUGCUGCUCAGGGCAGACUUGUCAAAUUACACCCAAAAUUUCCUGCAGGAUGAUCUUCACAUCUUCCUAGGGAGUUGCUUAACAACAGCAUUAGUGGAUCCAUACCAACAUCCCUAGGCAACCUGACAAGCCUGAUCACCCUUGAUCUCUAUGAAAACCUUCUCACCGGCGCGAUUCCGGCCUCGCUUGCCAACAUAAGGACGCUGCGUUUUCUGUAUGAGUCCUGUUGCGGCAAUUUUCAGUUGACGAGAUGCUAAAAUGUAUAGGUUUAAUGUUUUGCGCUCAUGAAAAAUUUCUGAUUGGCAUCAUUUGCAGUGGUUGUGGUCGUCCAGUACGCGCUCAAGACUACAAGCUGAGUAGUAGUUAGUGGCAACCUGAACUUCUGUAAGAAUAAACGGAAUGAUUUUUUCCUUCUCAAGCUGCUGGCAGUAACUGUAGGCAUGUAGCUGCAUCCUCAUCCUGAGCUUUUGCGGACCUUUGUUUAGUUAAGAGACCGGGGCUUACCUCCAUUUCAAGAAACAUGAUAAAGAAAAAACGAGAUAUAGUUCGAAAUAAUGAAUCCUUCUGUGCACCUUGAAGUUGAGAGGUGUGUGAGUGUGUCUCAUUUUUGUUUUUUGAAAAGGAAGAUCGUUUCCGGCCUCUUCAUUAUGAUGAUGCAUACAGCCAUUUUAUUAAGUAAUGUGAGUGUGUCUCAUGGUAUCCAGCUGGAUAUGAGGGCAUAUGUUUCCAUGGAAAUAACGCCGAGGGUGGACUAAUAAAAUCAACAUGACCUUUUUGAAGAGACGGGGAUGGUACGGUCUUCUUCCUACUGAAUGGAGCCUUCCUUUGUAAUUGUACCCAUGAGGGGAAUUUUGGAAGUCCAUGGAAAAUCAGAGGAAGUGUGAACUGCUUUUGGCUACGCAUGCAUAGGCACAUGGGCAAACAUAGCAUUACUCCAGGUGACGAUGCUCCUCUUGGCUUGGGAAGAUCGCAAGGUCAGCGGAGGAGAGAGAAGUGCUCGGAGCAUCACGAGUGGUCGAUGUGAGGAAACCAGGGAGAAUUCUCCCAACGUGAGAAGGUGAGGGUCUCCUGCCCGGGGAAUCGAGGGGAGUCGGGGUCGGGAACGCCUCUCACGCUUGGCCCCAAAUGGGCCUUUGAGGAAAUUGGGCAAAAUUUGCUCGUGUUAUUCUUAUUCCCACCCAGGGAAAGGAUGGGGAUCCAUCCCGGGAGGAUUCCCUGUUACUAUAUGAAGCCUUAUUGGGACAAGAAUCGCCCAAAAAGUGGGGAAAAGAUGUAGCCAGUGCAAGCUCUUCAAGGCUGGAUAAGUAAAACGAGAGGAAUAGGGCGAGGCGUUCGACUCUCUUUUCACUCUCGUGAGAUUUCUUUCCACGGAGGCUCACUAAGUUAGUAUCACUUACAACAAGGAGAAAGGAAGACAUCACCAGAAAUCCAGAGUCUCACUAAACUAUGCAAAAUUACAAACCCUGGCCACAUGUGGCUCAAAAAAAGCAUCGUGCCUUCCCUUGUUGUACGUGUAUGGUGGUGUUGAUUGUGUGCAUCCUAACCAUGCACAGGUUGGGUGCUUGAUAAUUAUUUUGGUACCCCCUUGAUGAUUCAUUUUAAUGAAACCAUCUUUUAUCAGAAAAGAUCAACAUUGAUGGCUUUUCUUUGAACACAUCAACAACAAUUAGGUAUCGAGACACAACUCAAGUGUGUAACAAGGUCCAUGAAUAUUUGAAACCUGGCAUGUCCACAAACCAAGCACGCAUUCGUCUUAGUAGUUUCAACCACAAAAAAAGUAAUGAAAAACACAAUCAAUGCAAAUUAUCCGAGGGCGGGACCUAAAUCUGAGGCAAACCACAUGUUGACAUCUCACGCACUUUUCAAUUUUCUGUUGUGUAGAUAACCCUACUCUAGAAACUUCUAUUAGGAUAUUUGAUUGAUUUGUAUAGUGUAAGCAAAAAGUAUAUUUAUCUCCAUGUUUAAAGGGAGGAGGGAGAUACCAAAAAUAGGCAAAAAACAAACAAUGUAUAUCUAAAUAAUGGCACAAAAUAUAGCAUAGAUAGAUGUGCUUUUUUUGUCAUCUGUUUUUGCCUUGAAUAUACUUCAACAAUUUUUCGUUCACUAAAUGUGAAUAAAUAUAAUAACAAUGAAUAUAAUUUAACCAUACUGAUUUUGUAUUUGUAACCAUAGGAUAUCUGAAAUGUAUAUAACUGAAGUUUGAUUUUUUUUGUAUUACAUGUGGAUAAUAUUGUUAUAUAUAAUGGAAAAAAAUGUUAUUUAAGAUUGUAAUUUAUCACACUAGAAUGCACAAGUAAUGUUGUUUAUUUAAUGAUUUAUAAAUAAGUAAAAAGUAUUAUUAUGAAAGGGUGCAACACGAACAAAAGACACGAAGCAACUGAGAGGCGACCCACUCGUAAUCUGCAGACAAUCGCUAGGGUUAGGAUUUUACAUUUGGGGGCACUACUGAGUGAUUCGUGUUACAUUGAUUUUUCAUGUUAUCAUAUUAGGCAAAUACGGCGGAAAACAUAAUAAUGUGAGAUUGUUUUUGACGACACUAUAGUAUUGGGCAAGCAAAUGAUUUUUAACUUUUCAAAAGAAAAAAAAAUUUCAAAAAUAUCUAAUCAGUUGGGAUGGGCAAAGAAGUUGAUGUUGGUGCCAAAUUUUUUGUGUACGAACCACCGGUAUAGGUAUUUUAUCUUCGCUCUACACCUGAAGACAAGAAAAAGACUUGUUACAAAUUUCAAUUAAGAAAAUAAAUACUAUAUUUAUUUUUUCCUGCUUUUCUCAUCAUAAUGGGAAGUGUGAUUCACCUGCUGAUACUACAUAUCAGUGGGGAGAAUGUCCCGGUGCUUCACCGGGUCAGGCCUAGAACCCUUGGCUUCCGACGACGGUGACAUUGGCCAAAAGGGGAAAAACCUCAUUGAGGGACCUCCCUCCUCGAUGCUAGUUGUGUCGUGAUCGGAAAUAGUUGAGAGACUCUCACAUUGGUGAGAACUCAAGAGACUAGCUCGACCAAGCUCAAUAAGAAAUAGGAUGAAACAAAGGCAAUCAUCUGACACAUAUGAAGGUAGCACAUUAUAGAGUGCUCUCCUGUUCCUGAGGGGCGGCCCAGAUUUUCCUUUGCGUACUAAGGCACGUCUCAAGGUUGAGCUCACCCAAUUAUAAACAUAACAUGAGCCUUAUGUAAAAGAAGAGGAGAGAAAAACAUAAUUGAGUGCUAAAGGACGAUGUUCAUAGGCAUGCUCCAGGAUAUGCCUUUGUGGAUGCGAAGCGUCAAAAAUAACUUCAGUGUUUGAUAGGAUCUCGGAACCAAAUGACAUACGUCAGGACCAAUGAUCCUCUUGGCUUGGAAUUGUUAAGGCUUGGGGUUGGACUUGACAAUGGGUAAAGACCUGAUACGAUCCUACAACCCAAUGAUUGUAUUUUUGCAUCAAAUAAAAAGAUGACAGGGUUUGUUUUGGCGAUAAUGACCAAAAUACUUGCUAAUAAUAGUGGGGGAUAUGGACAAGCUUGGUGCUUUUAGGCAAGUUAUAUAUGUAGAUUUCUUAGGGAAAAGUGGUGGCCUGGCCCUGGUAGAGAUACGGUGCACAUGUUUCUAUCGGCAUGGUGUCAAUAUUGUAUAGAUGAUGCUAUCAAAAUAUGACGGUAAAGAUCAUUCACAUUCGUAGUUCUCCACUUGACUUACAUGCGAGACCUCCCCUAAAAAUCAAGAGAAUAAAUGGUUUAGUAACGAAAAUAUAGUUCCUAGUUUAACUUGUAAACUAGAACCUUCACCUAGUGUAAGAGAAAUAAAAGUUCCUAGAAUUUGGCUUCGUCUAUGCCUGCCACGUAUCACUUAAACAAGUUUGGGGCAUUGAGCCAUGUGUCUUUUUUUUCUUGAAAUCGGCAUCCCUUUCCUGAUCUAAACUUCCAAAUGUAGUCCAACUGUCGAAGUACCAAAAUGUUGUGUUUUUUCUGAUAUGAAGAACAAAAUUCCUUCACUUUUUUUUGGAAAAGGUGGUUAAGACUGGUUAAGACCCCCAGCCUCUGCAUCCAUCGAUGCAUACAUCCAUCUUUAUUAUUUAUUUAACAAAGGUCUGACAAGAACAUACAUCAAGCCACCCGAAGCCCCCACUCACACCUACAAAACACGAUAAUGUGGAGUGCUCUCACUCCCCAUAUCUAAAACUGGUGUCGUCGCCGAUCCAUCCACAUAACAUAUCGGAACUAACAGUCGGUGUAGCAAACCUAAAGUGUACACCACACACACGUUUUAAAAGCCGCCAUCAUCAUUGAACCGCUGACUCAUCUUCAGGAGAGAAAUCCGCAUCAUCCAUGCCAGUCCGGCCAUCCGUCGACGCCACCACGACGCCCAACGGUGCCACCUCCCUGCGCUCAUUCAUCCAGACGCGAAGACUCUGUAAGAUCUGUCGUGCGUAGCACCUGCCGAACAGGCACGACAAAGCGUAGCACCUGUCGGCCAGGCAUGACCUGACAUCACCACCGAAGCUCCCUGCGGGACGAAUACGCCCCACCUCCUGCCUCUGUCUUCCAGCACUUCUCCACAAACAAUGCUCCCUAGAGAGGAACGUCACCACAAUGCCGCCAUCGUCCAAUCCGGAAAACCAUAUCCUAGGGUUUCCCCUGGAGUAGCACGAGUGGAUCGACCUCCGUGCGCUCAUCCAUCCAGACGCGAAGACUCUGUAAGAUCUAUCGCGCGUAGCACCUGCCAAACAGGCAUGACAAAGCGUAGCACCUGUCGGCCAGUCAUGACCUGACAUCACCAUCGAAGCUCCGUGCAGGACGAAGACGCUCCACCUCCUCCCUCUGUCUUUCAGCGCUGCUCCACAAACGAUGCUCCCUAGAGAUGAACGACACCGCAAUGCUACCAUCGUCCGAUCUGGAAAACCAGAUCCUAGGGUUUCCCCUGGAGCAGCACGAGUGGAUCGACAGUAGUUACACGACGAAGCCUUCAUCAAGGUAACGACGCAGAACGCCGCCAUCGUCUGUCGUCGGCUCGGUUUUCACCGGCAACUAUGUCUCCCUGACUCGCAGCCAGUACAAGUUUCUGCGAUGAGCCCGGUCACGGGAUCCCAAGAUCCGCCGUCAUCGGUGCCGCCACAAAAACCCACCACCUGGCCCGUCAUCCCCGGCGGAGGAGACGCCGCCACCAUCAUGGUCGGAUCCGGGUUAGCCCUUGCCGUCGCCACCGCUGCCACCGCCACCGGCCACGCCCAGCUCCACCUUCAUCUUCUAGCCACGUCCAGCCGAUCGGCACGCCACGCCCAACCAAUCUUCACACGCGCCGCCGCCGGAAGCUGCUGCGUCGUCGUGCCUUGGAUCCGCAUGACAUCAUCAUCGAAGCCGCCGUCCCGCGCCACACGACAUCGAACGAGGAGAAGGAAAAUCCCCGCCGACCGGAUCGGCGGCGCCGGCCAGACUUUGCCCGCCUUAGACGGCGGCGGGGAAGGAUGGAGGGAAAGGAGGCUGCUGGAAGUGGCGGUUGGGGAGCCCUCCCGGUCGCCCACGGGAGGGUCAGAUCACAAAAUUCUUUCACUAUACGCCCAAAACAAAGUCCACGUCCUUCCAGCAGGAAGUUGUCCAUUUGGCACCUCUUGACCGGUCUGCCUGGCCGAAUACUUGCAGAAAGGUCAGUCCAACAUGUAUAUUUUUCUAGCUGAAGAGUGAGUUCGUUUGCCUGAGUGGAAGAGCAAGAGACCGAUCAUGAAAUAAACUAUCUCCAGCGGAGGGUCCCAUGGACCAUGGUGUACGUUCUCUGUAGGCUGAUCUACAAUUCUUUCAGAACUUCAGCCGGUCUACUCCUUACAAGCUCAACUUUCGUUGGUCAAGAUAGCCAAUAUUAUAAACGAGUUAAUCGCACACUUUUCUCCACAAGAGCACAAGAUAAAGGUCAGCAGAGGAGAAAAUUCAAAGCUUUGGGAAGACCCAGAGCACCAUUAUCCGAUCUGUAACCCACUAGAACUGCUUAUAAGGACACGUACACCCUCCUGGUCUAGCAUACUACACCACAUUGUUCCACCAAUGGCAGCUCAGACCGGAGCAGCGCUCCUCCUCGCCGGCCUCCUCGCUCUUGCAACCAUUGUCAGCAGCAACACUGAAGGUACAUACAUACCCCUACAUGCCGAUUUGUUGCUUAAAGAUUUGGUGCUGAAUCACGUCCAAUGUGUUGCUACUCGAAGGCGACAUCCUUUACUCGCAAAGGCAGGUGUGGAAGGACCCCAACAACGUGCUGACGAGCUGGGAUCCGACGCUUGUCAACCCUUGCACUUGGUUCCAUGUCACCUGCAACCUCGACAACUCCGUCAUCCGAGUGUAUGCGACACCACUUUUCUCCUUCCUCCUCUGAAGGUCCAAAUUAGUUCCAUGAUAGGAAGCUACCAAUCUGCUUGUCUGCAUGCUGUUUGCAUAGUUAUUUCCAACAUUCAGGAACUUCUAAUUUGGACAAAAACCGCAUGAUUGUUGUUGAAUCUCUACAGAUUAACUGAAUCAUACUUGUGUUCCUCCUCACUGUUCAGGGAUUUGGGGAACGCGGGCAUCUCAGGCACCCUGAUUCCUCAACUGGGACAACUGAAGAACCUGCAGUACCUGUAAUUUCUGCAACUUACUGCAAAGUGCACACUUGUCAAAUUACACUCAAUAUUUUCCACAGAAUGAUCUUCUUAUGUUCAUAGGGAGCUGUACGCGAACAAUAUGAGUGGACCAAUACCAACAACCCUGGGCAACCUGACACGCCUGGUCACCCUCGAUCUCUACGACAACCAUUUCACCGGCGCGAUACCUUCCUCGCUUGGGGCAGUGGGGACGCUUCGUUUUCUGUAUGAGUCUCACUGCUACAAUUUUCAGACAACGAAAUAUUGAAAUGAUUACUAAUUGUCUCCAACUGCUGAAAACAAUCUGUUGGUGCCUAUCUUCAGGAGGCUACAUGGGAACAAACUGGCGGGAGAUAUACCGACGUCGUUGGGCCGUCUGACGAAGCUUGUCGAGCUGGAGCUUCAGGAGAACAUGCUUACUGGCGUGGUGCCGCUGGAGGUUCUCUCUCUUGUUCUUGUCGGGGACUUGACUGAACUGUGAGUAGUGCAGUUUGAUUCACACCAGAAAUUGCAUGCACUUCUUUCCUUCCUUUCCCACUGGCGUUCACUUACAGUAUUUUUUUUCCUUCGCGCAGAAAUGUUGCCAAGAACAAUCUUGCCGGCACUGUUAGAUCAUCUAAACCAAGAGGUAGGGAUCCAUAUAUUUGUGAUCUGCAACUCUGACAGAUUAAAUUGUUUUGAAGUUGUAUUCUUUGGUGUGUACAACCUAUCUAAACCGAUUGGAAUCAUUUGCAGUGGCUACGGUCAUCCAGGACACGCUCAAGACUACAAGCUGAGCAGUAGUGGCAACCUGAUCUUUUGUAAGAGUAAACUGAAUGAUUUUUCAUUCUGAAACUGCUGGCAGCAGAUGUAGCUGCAACCUCAGCUUUUGUAGACCUCUAUUCAGGCUUACCUCUGUUUCAAGAAAUAAUAGAAGGAGGAAGUUGUGGUUGAAUGCAUUGUAAUUACUAGCAACCUUUUACCCGCAUAUCCUGUGUAAUCUGUUUGGUGUCUUCGAAUCUCACUGUAAACUAUAAAAACCCUUGCCGCAUGUGGAGCCCGGCUUCCCUUGCUGUCUGCUAAAGGGAGCAUGUGAUGGCCCUCGCUGUUUUUGACGGCUUGAAGGCUAUCUAGGAUAGUCUUUAUUGUCAAUGGAAUUUAUUUGAAAAUAUCUACGGUAAUUAUGUAUCUUCUUUUAAAAAAAUAGGGGUUUCUCUCUGCCCCAACUUUUAUUAAGCCAAGGCAACGAAACCAGCAUCCAACGUUUUACAACUCUCGGUAAGCACCCAAAAGUAGCUGCCACAGGAUAAACGCAAAUGGUUCUAACAUAGCCAUGAUUACAGAGCAAAAGAAGGGCAUUCGACAUCAACGAUAAACAACAACAAGACAUCCUGUUGAGGCCCCAAUCUAACCACUACGCCAGGCUAUCCUAAGCAAUUCCCCUCGCCGAUGAUCCAACAGUCUUAAACACUAGAGAAGAAGAGCGCCCUGGGUGUCUGUACAUAGUAUCUUCCAUUGCCUGAUCAUGUGACCCGAUCAAGUCCAGGACGCAUCGUAUGCUUCGCCAUCUUCGUCCCUGGAAAACAAAUUCAUUCUGGAACAACCAUAAGCCUCACAAGGAACAGAUGUAACAAUAUUAAUAGCCUCAAUAUUAAUAGUCUUGAUUGUGUUAGAGAAGUACAAUAGAGCUGAGUCAGCUGGCUAUAAGAAAUAAACUAAUAUAUUUUUGUUUAGUUAAAGGAGAGAGAAGGUAAGCGGGCUCUUAGCUAAGAGCAUGGUUAAUAGUAUAGCCAACCGCGGGCUAUAAGUCAUCUUAUGGCUAGCUUGUACAAUAGUUAGCUAUAAAAGAGUACUACUUUUAUCAUAUAUGGUCCACCUUUCAUUCUCAUAAAGCACCUAGGAGCACGUGCUAGAGCUACUCUCUCAUCCAACUUAAUAAAAAUAUAGUAUUUAAUCCUUACAGCAUGCUGACUGUACCUUAUUGUACCUGUUCUAAGAGCCAGCUCUAGCACGUGCUCCUAGGCAUUUUGUGAGUAUGAAAUGUGGACCAUAUAAUAAAAAAGUACACUUUUACAAUGAACUAUUGUACAUGUUGACUAUAAGAUGGACUAUAGAUGAUAUGUCAAUGACUUAUGGCCAGCAGCUCGCUAUACUAUUGUACUUGCUCUUACAAACCGGGACUAAAGGUGCUUCACGUGGUCGUUGUGGCGAGGGCAGGAGGACCUUUAGUCCCGCUUGGUCACAACGACCGAGAUUAAAAGGCGCCACGCAUCAGCAGCAGCCAGACGUUGGUUUUUUAAAGGAGGGGUUUGGGGGUUUAGGGGUUUCAUAUUCGUGUUUUCCCCUUUUCUUUUGUGUCAUCAUCUUUGGUUCCUUAUGCAUGUUGGUGUUCUUGGUCGGUGUCAUUAUUGAACUCCAUUCAACUAGGCGCUAGCUAGUACGUACAUAUAGCAAUGAAGGAACCGUUACACGACAUCGUCAUGAAUAUAAAGAGAAGUGACGUCUCUUUCUCCGUGCUUGGUCGCCCAAUAAGUUUUCGUAUAUCUAUUCGAUGCUACUACAUAUAUUACACGUUCAUGUAUAUAUACAAUAUAUAACAUUUCUUGUGAUCCCUGACUAGCUAAUAUCUAUCUACCAACAUGGAUAAGGAAAUCCUGAUGGUAUUCUUCGUGUGUAGGUAUGACAUGCUCAACAAAGAAUCCAUCCAAUUCCUCUUGAAUUGCUCGUAUGCGAUCAGUUGGUAGGAGUUCAUCCUGCUUCCACACGAUCUAAUUUAAAGAAAGGGCUCAAUAUNAUAUAUAUAUAUAUAUAUAUAUAUAUAUAUAUAUAUAUAWACGAACGAAACUCAACACAACUGAUGGUAAUAAAAAAGUUUGAAUAUUGUUUACGUACUUUAAGUUGUUGAAAAGACCUGCCCCCUCUCACAAAUGGUCUGUUGAAUCCACUCGCAAACGUAGUAUCGCAGUACUUUACAAGAAUAGAGUUCAAUCAAAAUAAUAAUCAAGCAUGAUAAUGGUACUGAAAUUAGAAUGAAUGAGAGAUGCGCGAACUAGCUAGUACUACACUACUACUUACUUUGGAGUGUGAGAAUCGCAGCUCCUCUUUCCAUUCACCCCUAAAAGUGCCAGUGAACUUUUUCCAAACCCUACAUGGCGAAGAAAAUGAUUACUUAAUAUGAGGAAAUGAACGAAAGUUGCCGAUAUGGUGCAAUAAUGACUGAACUUACUUCUGAAGCAUUUGACUCAUCGUCGCCCACUCUGUAGGGUCUUUAAGUCUCGAGUCCAAGACAAUUAUUAGUCCCUCCUCAAGCUUAAUGAUUACUAGAAUAAAGUAAACUUGUGCACGCAUAACUCAUCAAUUACACUUAACCUCGAGUAAGCGAUACAGAAUGUGAACAAGACAACUACUGACACUCACCGAAAGUUGUAAGGAAAUAAUAUUUCCCUUCUGUCAUGUUGUCGAAUUAACGCAUUUAGCGAGCAUUUCUCUGUAUCCACGCGCAUGUGAUGUACCUAUAUUCAUUUACGGUAUCUGGGUUUAUGAACCCAAUGUCAUAUAUUUGUCUUUUUUGUAUUUGAGAACCUUCAAUCUGCAUAAUAUAGUAAGGAUAAUUAUACAUGCAAUGAAUGAACUGAGCUAGAGACUUAAUUACAUAAAUAAUACUUACAAACAAUAGCAACAGACGAGCGUUUUGUUGAGGACGUCUUGAUUGUAUAACUGAAAAAAUUCUUCAAAUUCAAUGUACAAUGACUCGAAUCCAUUGAAGUAGUGCUCAUGUUUAAUUUCCACGUAGAUAUUGUUGGUUCCAUUCUUACACGUUUUCAAGUACCAGUCAUGGAGUCUUCGUAUCAUCGUUGAUAGUUUCGUCAACUGCUCAUGUUUGACAUAUAUAUAGGAGGGAUGGGUGGAGAUGGCCAAGACCUAGGGCUGCGCCCAAGAGGUGGGGCGGUGACCAAGGGUAGCCUGGUCCCCAAAUUAGGGUGGCCGCCCCCCUAGGGUUUUACCCCACCAACUCCUUCAGCCGCAUGGGCCUAGCUGGGAGUGGCGCCCAACCCACCAGGAGCUCAUGUGCACCCUUCUCAACCCCCAUGUCCCCCCCCCCCCCGAGGUGGGUGGAUCCCUUCCAGAGGACGCCAGAGGGCCAGCUGGGACCCCACAAGCCACGAGGGCACGACCUAGGGGGCGCCCUGUUGGCUUCUGCCCAGCUGGUGGCCCCUCUCGGGUAUAUUUUUGGCCCAGAAAUUCUUAAAUAUUUCAGAAAAAUUCUCCGUAAAGUUUCAGGUCAUUUGGAGCAAGUUGAUUUUUCUGUCUCUUUCUUGGUUUUCCGGUCCAGAAUUACAGUUUUCACAUAUUUCCCCUUAUUGAUGUACCUUGCAUAUUCAGAGAAAAAGAGGAUAAGAAUUGUAUGAUAAUGAGAAAUAAUGGACAAGAUCAAUAUUAAUUCAUAAUAUAAAAAAACAUAUCAUAAAUGCUCUAACAAUGGAUUCACACAAAAGUUAAAUACAUAGCAAAUCGCAAGGACGAUCUAACUUCUAGACUGACCAUUGAAAAAAAAAAUCAGAAACAAACAUCAUUACAAACAGGUAGCAAAUUAGAUUGGGCAAAUAUACACGUGUCAACCAAGCAAAACCCAACGCCUAGCAUUGCAGACGCACAGUAGAAGCGAUACCUUAGCCGGUUUAAUAUUUGUAAUAAUUCUCAUCUUAAAGAAAAAAAUUAAUUAGGUAAAUUAACCGUUUCGCUAUGUAAUCAAAUAUUUUGAUUAUGUUGAAUUGCUGGACAACUUCAUGACCUGGUGAAUUCAUGCGAGAGUAGCCAUAAAUUUGUAUUAAUAUAUGUUGUGAUAACAAGUAAGGCAAAUCAUUUGGGUGCUUAAUGUCGAAGUCACCUAUGACACUUACACAACAACGGGCACACAUUGCUUCGUCGACGGUCAGAAAUCGACGCGUAGUGCCUACCUAAUAUUCACAACUUUGGGCCUUAGAUACAGGAGCAGUACAACGGGGCUUAAAAGAAACAAUUCAUAUUUGUCACUUUGUUGACAAGGCGUAGACAUUUCACAUAGAGCGACUAUGAAUGGGUUGCUGCAAUUAUGUCUAUAUGGAAUCCGGUUUUUGAACCUUCUAUAAGAUGUCUCUUUAUUUCUAUUUGUCUUUAUUCCAUUAUUUUAUUUAUAUAUGUUUUUUACCCUUUUAUCUUUUCUUAUUUUUUUAAAUGUCGAAAAAAUUGUUUAAGAUUCUUAAAAUAUUGGAAAAUUUUAAAAAAAUUCACAAUUUAAAUAAUUUUCUAAAAGAUUACAUUUUUAUAAAAUGAAGUAAAAAAUAUGGAAAAUGUCCACAAACGUUCUAAAAACAUAUUUUUUAUUUUCUUAUAUUUUUAAUAAAAAUGUUCAUAUGAGAUUAAAAAAUGGUUGCAGUUCUAUAUAUGGGUUUUCUCAUUUUUAUUUAAUUAAAUUUCGUGUUUUUUGGUACCCAAAAGAAAAAAUCCAAAGAAAAACAGAAAAAAAAAUACUAAAAUACAAACGUGAACGAUACAUAGGAGGUCCCACUUACAAGAGGCCACCGGGUGACCAUAGAGUUUGGUAUGUGAUCCAUCCCCUUCUAAAAUCUUCACUCUCCCAUCUCCAGUCCACUCUCCACCCACCACCACCACCACUCCCCCACACCCGGCCGGCGAUCGCGCGAUGGCGGCGGCCGCACCCCCUCCCGCGGCGGCGCUGGAGCAGCUGAGCAAGACCAAGAUGUUCGGCGGCCACAACCUCCGCUUCCGCCACCAGAGCGCCGCCCUCGGCUGCCCCAUGACCUUCUCCCUCUUCCUCCCCGCGUCGCCGGCCUCCAAGCUCCCCGUGCGUGCCCUACCCCGCUCGCCCCGGGACCCUACUCCCCGUCUCCGGCCUAGAGAUCUGACGGCGUUUCCGUGGGUGUGGCGCAGGUUCUCUACUGGCUCUCCGGCCUCACCUGCACCGACGAGAACUUCAUCAUCAAGUCCGGCGCCCAGCGCGCCGCCGCGGCCCACGGCGUCGCCCUCGUCGCCCCCGACACCUCCCCCCGUACGUCGAGCCUCAACCCCCUCCUCUCUCGUCGCGUUCAAUUUCUAGGGUUUAUACCUGCCCGCCCCUAGAUUUAUGCAUUUUAGAUUUGGGAAUUGGGACGCCGCCGGAGAGAAAUGGUGAGAUGUGCUCGUAUACCUGCAGUUGCCACGGGCUCACCGCUAAUGUUUGGACUACCGUGCUUGUUUGCUGUUUGGUUUAGCCAAAUUUGACUGAUAUAUCAAACAGGGAAUGUGUGAGCGGUAAAUUAUGCAAGUUAAAUUUCAACUGAAAACUAUUACGAUUAGUUAAAAGAAAUAACCACCGAUCCCUCAUUUGUGCAUCAGGUUGGAGUUAUAUUUGAUAGGUUUGACACUUCAACAUGUAACUGGUUCAAGGAUUAAGUUAUGUGCUUGCAUAUGGAUGCACUCAUGUCUGUGUUUUACAGCACAGGGACUAUGAAUGGCGGAAGUAUAAUCACUAAUGUGGUAAUUGCACCAUGCCAAUGGUGGCAGUGCACUGUUGUGAUACUUUGCUGGCUAUUCAUCGACAACUGUUUGCUGAGUACUGAGUUGCUUCAAGGCAACAUGCAUUCAUACACUCAUAUGGGAUGCUAAAACUGAUGAGAAGUUUGUAGAUUACACAAUUGGCUUAUGCACCAGUAAAGGUGAUGCUCAUGGAUAUUACCCCGCUCAUAUUAUAGGAAUUACGCCAGUUUAAUGGUUUAUCUUGCAAAUUGUACACGUGCAUGGAUUAUUUUAUACAAAGGUGUUCACUGCCGUGGGCACUUGGCUGUGGGUGAUAAUUGCCUCAGGUCUCCAUGUCAUAGGUUACUUCUCUGCUGAGUGUCUGAUAGAAGUACUGGUAGAAGUUUUGACUGACGCAGCAUUCCCGUUUUCCCAUAUCUGGAGUAGGUCAAGUUCCAUGCUGUAUGGUACAUAUUUAUACACUUUUAUGUUGGUAGACCCUCUAGUAGUUUCUACCGAUAUUGACAUGGGAAAACUUGUCCAUUGUCAUGUUGCUACCCAGUGGAUUAGUAUGUUUAGCAAGCCUCCAUCAUUAGUAAUCUAAUUCUCCACUGAUGAAUCGUAUGGAGCUGAAGGAAAAAAGAGUAACCAUUAAAGGCAUCUUCCUGAGGCAUAAUCACUUAAAUUUUAGCUGUUUGGUUUUGGAUUAUUAAGGCUGGAAAUUUUGGAAGACACUGUAACCUAACGAGGCCAGCAAAAUGCACAAUCUACCUCUUAUCCGGGGCAUGUAUGAACUGCAUUUUACAAGAAGAAAAAGAUCUGGUUGAGUUAUAGGAUAGAUCUGCUCAACCUAAAGAUGGAGUUGAGUCUGAAUAAAAAAGGUGUUCUAGGUUGAUGAAUGACUGUCAUGUUCCUGAUAUUCUGCCAAUCAACAAAGCGUUUUGGUUCCUUUGACUACCAAAUAACAUGUGGAAUGUUCAGUGUGGUUUCAUCUGUAUUGCUUUAAUCACCUUUCUUUUGUCGAGAGCACAUUAUAUGAUUCUUGAUCCUGGUUUUAACCUUUUCCUUUCUUCAUCACUCUUUUCCUUUGUUUCAUGCAGGUGGACUAAAUGUUGAAGGAGAGGCAGAUAGUUGGGAUUUUGGUGUUGGUAAGGACUGUAAUUAAGACAAUCUUGCUGUGCCAUUUGCUGUUUAUAUGAUAUAUGACUUGUCAAUUUCCAUGGUAGGUAACUUACUGCAUGAGCCUCUCAUUUGCCAUAAAGAAAUGAAAUAUUAUACUCUUUGCUGUUUUUUGUGUUAAAUUUGUGCUGCUUUGUUUUAUAUCAUGUUGGUUCUGGAGCAACGUUUUAUAGUUUUGUUAAAAACAUAUGCUCAUAGUUACUGCUUUUUUUUAAGGGAAGCUCAUAGUUACUGCUAAUAUGUUCUUUUCUUAGAUGGAACCUUGCGAGUUGCCGAGAAAAUUAAUAUUUAGUCAGCCCAUCGAACCAAGAUUAGUCCUUUUAUAUUUUGACAUUGCUGUAUAUCUAUGUGGUCAAAGCUCAACCAAAAAGUAAUUUCAUUGUCCUAGCGGCUAGCGAUGACACACUUUAUCUCAACCAUCAGAGUGCCAUAUCUUUAUAUUCCUGAUUAUGCAAGAUAGACAUCUGGUGGAUUAGAGUUUCUUUAUCUAUGUCGGAUCUGAUAACAUGGUUGCCCUUUGGCCUCUGUUAACCUGUUAAGUCAAACAUCCUGUGCUCUUGACCAUGUCAAUUUGACAGAUAUGACAAAAGAAGCUUAUGUGGCCAUCAAUUUUUUCAUGUCACGUAUGUCUGACCUUAAAGACGCAAUAUUUGGAUAGACGUUAUUCUUUGGCCGUAAUAAGAUUUCUAUGAAUUUGUGAAGUUCUUCUACACAAGUUCUAAAACAAUUAGGUACUAUUGAAUUCAUGAAUUUGUCCAUUAGAAAGUGCAGCUGGUUUACAAUUUUCAAGUUUAUAUAUACAAGCUGUAUCAUGAUGAUAAGACUUUUGUUUCUAUGCAUGUGGCUAGAGGUGUCUAAAACUCAUAUCUUCACUAUUCAUGAGUAGGUGCUGGAUUUUAUUUGAAUGCCACAAAUGAGAAGUGGAAAAACUGGCGCAUGUACGACUAUGUUGUGAAGGAGCUGCCAAAAGUUCUUAGUGACAACUUUGAACAGCUUAACACGUCAUGUGCAUCAAUUUUUGGCCACUCUAUGGGAGGGCAUGGUGCACUCACUAUCUACUUGAAGAACACUGACAAAUACAAGGUACUGUUUGAUGCUAUUUGUUAACCCCCAGUAUCUGGGAAUUCCUGUCUAUGAACCUUUUUCAAAUUAGGAAACUUGUAGAUUGGUGUCUACGUCAUACGAGUAUAACAUAUGUACUCUCAUUUAUUAUUUCAUCAAAUCUCACUGGGCAUUGCGGAUUUAUCUUACAUAUGCAGUCGGUGUCUGCAUUUGCUCCAAUUGCUAACCCAAUAAACUGCCCAUGGGGCCAGAAAGCAUUCUCAAACUAUCUGGGCACAACUAAAUCAGAAUGGGAGGCAAGUCUUCUUUGAGAUCAUCUCCUUCCCUACCUCUUUCCAUUCUCAAGCCAGCCACACUUAAUAGUGCAUGCUUAUUGCAGGAAUACGAUGCAACAUUCUUGGUCAAGAAGUGCAACACGGUUUCAACUUCUAUCCUGAUUGACCAGGUAUAAUGCAACUGUGCGACGAAUAGCGUCCAAUUCCUGCUUUCACUCUAUUUCUAGCUCAUCGUUAUUGUUGGAAUGAGCCAUUUAGUGUGUUACAUUUCAUAUUUUGAUUCGAGUGUACUGAACUAGCGACAACCGAGCAACUAGUCAUCUCCAUGGGCAUGUAAGGUAAUUGGAAAAGGUCCCUGGAAGGUACGAGUGAGCAUGUCACAAUGACCUGUUCUCAGACAUUUGUGGCAACAGGGAGAGCCAUCCUCCUGGUAAUAGGAUGUCUGAAAGACAUGAAAUCAUUUUGGUUGUUUUGCCUGCUGCGCAUGUAUGAUUCAGCCAUUUCCGUAGCCUUGUACACCGGUUAUGCUUCGAUAUGAGUACCUCGUUAAGUGAUGGCCUCUACUGUCUAUCCUGGUUAGCAUUGGUAGGACUCCAUUGCAUGUUCAGUAAGAUGGUAUCGUGUCACAGUAUUUCUGUAUCAGACAUGCUUGUAGAAGUUCCAUUAGUUUAGCAUCCCUUAUCUGUCAGGGAGUCAUAUGCUGUCACGUUAUGAUUAAUUGAUUAUGCAUGUUCAACUGAACUGCCUAGAGCUGAAGUCUGGCAAGUUAGCACAACUGCAUGAAGGAAACAUUUAUACAUAGGUUGGACUGAACAUAAGAUGAAAGUAAAAGGCGCUAGAGUGUACACGAAUUGGUUCUGAAGGAUGUGAAUUUGAGAACUUGCCACUGUCAUUUUUCAUCACAUCUGCUUUUCUGCAUUAUUUUCUUGCAGUCAUAUAAGGUUCAGUACUUUUGCUGAUUUGUGCAGGGAGAGGAUGACAAGUUCCUGGCGGAGCAGCUGCUGGCGGGCAACUUUGAGGAGGCGUGCAAGUCGGCGGGCGUUCCACUGACUCUCCGCAUGCAGCCGGGAUACGACCAUUCCUUCUU